GGCUCGGUGGUUUAGUGGUAUAAUACUCGCUUAGGGUGCGAGUGGUCCCGGGUUCGAUUCCCGGCCGAGCCC
rnacentral:tRNA from 1 species